rnacentral:rRNA from 1 species
UACGUAGGGUGCAAGCGUUGUCCGGAAUUAUUGGGCGUAAAGGGUGCGUAGGCGGCGCGGUAAGUCGGGUGUGAAAUCUUGGAGCUUAACUCCGAAACUGCAUUCGAUACUGCCGUGCUUGAGGACUGGAGAGGAGACUGGAAUUUACGGUGUAGCGGUGAAAUGCGUAGAUAUCGUAAGGAAGACCAGUGGCGAAGGCGGGUCUCUGGACAGUUCCUGACGCUGAGGCACGAAGGCCAGGGGAGCAAACGGG